GAUCAUCUCCUCACCCACCAUUGAUGCAAGCGGAGAUCACAAACUGAGCUGGAUCCCGACAAAAGCCCGAUGUCAAGGCUCUGUAGCAGAGUGCAUGGGAGAAGAUGAAUUCCACAUGGUCUCUGAGAUUAGCAGGAGGUUACUUCAGACGGCCACCACACAGUACAUAAGCUAUGGAGCGCUGCAGAGGAACACCGUGCCAUGCUCCCAGAGAGGUGCAUCCUACUAUAACUGCCAGCCAGGUGCGGAGGCCAACCCCUAUUCCCGCGGUUGCAGUGCUAUUACUCGCUGCCGUAGUUAAGGUUAUUAAAACCUGCUGUUUCUAUGGUCUUAUUAAUUUGUAUUGGAUUUCUUCCGUAGUUAAGGUCAUUAAAACCUGCUGUUUCUAUGUUCUUAUUAAUUUGUAUUGGAUUUGUUUUGUAAGAUACAUAUAACAUUGCAACAAACAGAUGUUACAUGUCUUAAUAACCACUUUAUU
rnacentral:misc_RNA from 1 species